AUUCAUCAGCUACACCUUCAUGAAGUACUUGGUAGAUUUUUUUGUUUAUGCAAAGUACUUGUAGAUUGAAGGUUCAUAGUUGGUGAAAUACUAUAAAAACAAUUGUAGAAUCUUCCAUUCAGAGUAAAAGUUAGAGAACC